AUAUGAUGUGUUUUUAUGUCUCUUAGUAAAAACAAAUGGAAGGUGUUAAUUCCUUUCUCAUUCUACAGGAUCAUCUGAAAGCAAAAGAUUUCACUACAGAACAGAGAACAUUAAAAAGUAUGUGCUGCUUAUUUCUGUGUACACAACCAAGUGAGGAGAGUAUACGAGCAUUCCUUUGGGAGAGAAAGGAAAGAAAACUGCCAGCCUGUGAUCCAAGGAUUUCUUACUUUCCAUUCUUUCAUUCAUUAUUUGAAGUCAUUUUUUCUGAAGAUUAUGGUUCAUGUUUCCAGGUACGCUCACUGAAUAUUCGCUGCUUUGAGCCAAACCUCUUAUCAGCCCUGCUUCACACUUUUACUUUGGAGAAGUUAAGAAUAUUAUUCAGAUUUCCU
rnacentral:lncRNA from 1 species